rnacentral:rRNA from 1 species
AGAGUUUGAUCAUGGCUCAGGAUGAACGCUGGCGGUCUGCUUAACACAUGCAAGUCGAACGGAAGUAGCAAUACUUUAGUGGCGGACGGGUGAGUAACGCGUGAGAAUCUACCUUCAGGACGGAGACAACAGUUGGAAACGACUGCUAACCCCCGAUGUACCGCAAGGGCAAAUAUUUAUAGCCUGAAGAAGAGCUCGCGUCCGAUUAGCUAGUUGGGGGGGUAAAAGCCCACCAAGGCGACGAUCGGUAGCUGGUCUGAGAGGACGAUCAGCCACACUGGGACUGAGACACGGCCCAGACUCCUACGGGAGGCAGCAGUGGGGAAUUUUCCGCAAUGGGCGCAAGCCUGACGGAGCAAGACCGCGUGGGGGAGGAAGGCUCUUGGGUUGUAAACCCCUUUUCUCUGGGAAGAACAAAAUGACGGUACCAGAGAAUCAGCUCGACUCCCCAC